rnacentral:sRNA from 1 species
GGUGUUUUGUCUGCACGUAUGUUCGUGCACUGCGUACAUGCAAUGUUUAUGGAGGCCAGAAGAGGGCUUCAGACCCCAGGGCUCAGCUCUCGCCCUGUGUCUGUGAUGCCAUCACCAGAAGAGGUUUCUGUCUAACAAAACUCCACGAUGAGCCCUGUAGAACAGCCAUGCUACCGAGAAUAGACAAGAAUUGCCAAAACAGGAGGAAGGCAGCAGGCUCGCAAUCCCCAAUUUACAAGACCAUUGAUCCUAAUUGCACAAGCAAUUCUCAAACUGAUAUUCCAAGACAAAGAAGCAAAUUUGCUCACAAACGUUGAUUCUCCCAUCUCCUGCAGACUAAGUCCUGACUUCAACACCGUGCACCAGAAUGAUAACUCAGACACUAGCAAGAGACCUGCAUUAUUUUACAAAAAGGACAAUGGCAUCGGCUAGAGGAGGAACGAAAGGCACCAAAUGAAAGGAUCUUAUAACUAUUGGUAAAAAUAUCGUUGCCCAGUACUACUGUCCAUAGCCUACCUCCUUCAUUUGCAUCUAUUCCAAACACAAAAAUAAAGCAUGGGCUAACAAGAUGGCUUGGUGAGUAAAGGGGCUUGCCAAUCCCCAGGACUCUCGUGGUGAAGAAAAUAAACUAACUCCGUUCAGUUGGCCUCAGACCUGCAUGUGUACACUGGCACAUGCACAUGCACACAACAACCUUACUCA